GUGCUCUUGGUGUAGUGGCACCACAUGUUCUAAAAAUGUCAUAAAGUACGCUAGGGAUUUAUGAACAGGUCCGGGGUUUGAAUCCCUGAGAGCACA